ACAUCUGGGCAGCUGGCGGGAGCAUGAACGGCUCACAGGUGGGAGCUGCGGCCAAGGCUGCCUGGCUGAGCUGCUGCAACCAGUCCGGGCUGCCACUCGGACCCCCGGAGGGGCCGCGGAUGGUGCAAGCAGUGGUGCUGGGUGUCCUGUCCCUUCUGGUGCUCUGUGGGAUCCUGUUCCUGGGUGGUGGACUCCUCCUCCGCGCUCAGGGCCUGAUAGCCCUGCUGGCCCGAGAAAGGCAUUCAACCCCCGAGGCUGAGCCUGGUGCCUGUGGAGGGGAUGAAGACUCCUAGGUGUCAGCUGCUCUUGAGAUCCAGCGCCUUCUGUGCCAUGCCGUCCAGAGCUCAUUUCUGUGGGGCACGGCAGAAGGCUCAACCCACAAACUCUUGUUUCCUGCACAGGUGCUGGACAUCUCCCCUCACCUGCCGCCCACCCGCACCCUAUUUGUGCUUGUGAGAUGGACUGAAGAUGCCGGACCGGUGACUCCUCAUCCUGGGACUCUGGUACUCGGCUGUCUCCGAGCUGCUCCCGACACUCCUGGGGUGGGUGCAGGAGACUGACUCAUGCUCAGAACAAGUGAGCCUGCUUGGUGACUGCCCUGUGCCAUGGGCACUGCGUGGACACGAGUGUGCCCUCUGCACACCAAGCUCUGUGGACAUGAGUGCAGUUCCUGUUUUGCCUGAUGCUGUACAGCAGGAUCUGACCACCCAGCGACCUAUUGCUGCUGAGAACCUGGGUUACUAUUUACCAUCUGGAGAGUGCGUCAGCCAUCCAGCAACACGCCAUCGCUUUCCAUGGCUUUGCCAUUAAAUAGGCCAGUAACGCAGUUCUGAGUGUGUGGUCUGUUUCCAGCCCUUGACCCUUGGGAUUCUUCGUUUCUCUCCUCAUCUCCCUUCAAUUUGGCCUGCUUCUAGUAAUUUUUUUUUUAAAGAAGGGGUUUACAAGGAGCUGGAGAGAUGGCUCAGUAGUUAAGAGCACUGACUGCUCUUCCAGAGGUCCUGAGUUUGAUUCCUAGUAACCACAUGGUAGCUCACAACCAUCUGUAAUGGGAUCUGAUGCCCUCUUCUGGUGUGUCUGAAGACAGCUGUGGUAUACUCAUAUACAUUAAAUAAAUAAAUAAACAAACAAACAAAUAAAUAUAUAAAAAAAGAAAGGGUUUGCAAUAGCCCAAGCUGACCUGAAACUAGUUGUGUGCUCUAAGAUGGACCUGAGCUCACAGCAAUCCUCCUGCUUCAGCCUCUCAGGAAUUAUAGACAGGUCCACCAAAGCUGGUUUAGAACAGAGGGUAGAUGUGAUGCCCGCUGGGAAUGACUCCCACCAGUCAGUGUGACCAAGGGCUUGGCUUUAUUCAACCAGAGCUUUGUAUGUGUAUGUGUGUGCAUGCAUGUCCAUGUGUGUGUAUGUGUGCAUGUGUGUGAAUGUGUGAGUGUGUGUAUGUGUGUGUGUGUAUGUGCAUGUGUGUGCACGUAUGAGUGUGUGUGCAUGUGUGUGAGUGUAUGUGUAUAUGUGUGCAUGUGUGAAUGUGUGUGCAUUUGUGUGAGUGUGUAUAUGUAUGUGCAUGUGUGUGCACGUGUGUGUGCAUGUGUACACAUAUAUGCAUGUGUGUAUGUGUGUGCAUUAUGUGAGUGUGUGUUUGUGUGUAUAGUUACUUCUCUGAGAGUGGGUUUUGUAAACCUUGCCCUCAUCUUUGAAAUAGAAGUGACACCGUCAGUGUGAGUGUGGACCCAGUAGGUGAUGCGUUUGCCCAUCACUAUAAUGUUUUGUAUACUACAGUUACUAAGGGACACUGUUUCCCCAAGCCUGGCUGUGUUAAUUAUUGUUCUAUUGCGAUAAAGCAUCAUGACCAAGGCAACUU
rnacentral:lncRNA from 1 species